rnacentral:lncRNA from 1 species
ACGGUUUGGGGCGAUUUUUGAGCAAGAAAUCAUGAGAAAUCUUGAGGUAAGUCACUUGUGAUUAUUUCUACUCCAUAAUAUUGAAUUAUCAUCGAAUAAUCCGACUAGAUUAUAUGUUUUUGAGGUGUAAAUUGGGAAUUUUGGACCUAGGGAUUUGAAAAUAAGAUUUGAAGAUUUGAGGGAUCAUUUGAACUCCGAUUUUGGUAAAUUUUAUAUGUACGGACUCGUGGCGAGAUGAGGAAUCCGGUGAUGUAACUUUUGUAAUUUUUUGAGAAGUGAGCUCGGGGCUCGGGUUUUGCCAACUUCGUGAUUUUUAGCAUUUUUCGAGUAUUUUCGAUUGGGUAUUGUUCCCUUAGUAUAUUGUGAUGUAUUCGCUCUGAUUUUGGUUAGAUUCGACGCGCGUGGAGGCCGAUUUGAGGGGCAAAGGCGUCGCAAGCUAUAGAUUUCACCGGUUCGAGGUGAGUAAUGAUUUUAAAUGAUGCACUGAGAGUUUGAAACCCUGGAUUGAACAACAUACUGCUAUGUUGAGAUGAGACACGCGUUGUAUGACGAGCGCGGGGUCAUUUACUAUUGGGGAUUGUGACUUGGUCCAUCCCAGUUGAUAUUUUUACCGCGUAAUUGAUAAAGAUUUAUUGUUUUUCACUAUGAUUGGGGCUUAUUGCCAUAUUUGGGCUUUGUGCCAAUUAUCUGAAAUCUUUUGUGAAUUUACAUCACUAUUUUCCUCACGAAUUGAAAUAUUAUUUGAACUCAGUCCAAUUGAAUUUUAUUAUUUUGUGAACUCAGCUACAUUUAUACUCAACUCGAGAUUUAAUGAUAUUUAUAAUGUUGUUGAGCUGAGCACUAUUGUUUUACUAAUGCCCAAGAGGCUUAUGAUUAUUUUCUGGACUGAUUGAGGUCGAGGGCCAUACGUGAGGAUAUGUUGAGUGAUGUGAGGAGGCUUUCAGGACUCGAGUGUUAUGUGAGGAGGCUUUCAGGCCUCGAGUGUGAUGUGUGAAGGCUUUCAGGCCUAUUGAUAUUGCGCUUGGGCUGUAGGAGCCCCUCCGGAGUCUGUACACACUCCCAGUGAGCGCAGGGUACCCAGGUGAGUUGGGAGUGGGCCCGAGAGGCUGUCGCUUGUGUGUGGUGAGUUGGGAGUGAGCCCGAGGGGCUGAUGUUGUGUGCUGGUGAGUUGGGAGUGAGCCCGAGGGGCUGAUACUAUACUGAGAUUUACAUAUUGAGCCCGAGGGGAAAGCUUUUGAUUUAUCCUUACUGUAGAAAUUAUUUGUCUUUACUGUUUUAAAAGAAGAAUUAUCUGAUACUCACUGUUUUAUUGUAUAACUGAUUUUACUGCUUGGGAUAGCGCUAUAUUGUGCCGUUAUGAGAUUUCAUAUUUUCAGUCUCUAUUUAUUUUUAUUACUCACUGGGUCGGAGUACUCACAUUACUCCUUGCACCAUGUGUGCAGAUACUGGCAGAGCUGAGUUCGCUCCUGAGCGCUGAUUCUUUCCAGGUCAGGCGGUGACUAGGAGUAACGAGGUAGUUGUUGACGUCCGCAGCCCCAUUUUCUCCCUUAUCUUGGUUAUUUAUGAUAACUCCAGACUUUGUAAAAUAUUAGUAAACUCUGUAGUAGCUCAUGACUUGUGACACCCCGA